UACGAAGGGGGCUAGCGUUGUUCGGAUUUACUGGGCGUAAAGCGCACGUAGGCGGAUUGGUCAGUUAGGGGUGAAAUCCUGGAGCUCAACUCCAGAACUGCCUUUAAUACUGCCAGUCUCGAGUCCGGAAGAGGUAAGUGGAACUCCUAGUGUAGAGGUGGAAUUCGUAGAUAUUCGGAAGAACACCAGUGGCGAAGGCGGCUCACUGGACCGGCAUUGACGCUGAUGUGCGAAAGCGUGGGGAGCAAACAGG
rnacentral:rRNA from 1 species